rnacentral:lncRNA from 1 species
UAAAAGGUACUGUCCACAAUGCAAAGAACGACGGCAAGCGAGUAAGAAGCUUGAUUUAUGGAGGCUUCCAGAGGUGCUGGUGAUCCAUUUGAAGCGGUUCUCAUACAGUAGAUCUAUGAAACACAAACUAGAAACCUUUGUUAACUUCCCAAUACGUGAUUUUGAUUUGACAAACUACGUGGGCAACAAGAACAGCACCCGUCGUCAACUCUAUGAACUAUAUGCCCUGACCAAUCAUUAUGGUGGCAUGGGAAGUGGGCAUUACACUGCGCACAUCAAGGUGAGAACAAAUUAGUAGUCUUUUUUAGUUUAUUGUAUCAUUUCCCUUGAUUUCCUCUGCUGUUCUGUUCCUAUUCUUGAAUCUUGAUUGUUGUCAAAUGUUUUUAGUAUUAUUAUGAUGCAUGUGUGUGAUGUCUGAAAAAUCGUGCAGCUUUUGGAAGAAAACAAAUGGUACAACUUCGACGACAGCCAUAUAUCGCUUAUUAACGAGGAUGAUGUCAAAUCAGCUGCUGCUUACGUUCUGUUUUACACACUUGCUUCUCCAGUUGACUCAUCGACGUAAACAGCAGUAUGUAACCAGUUAUAUCACUGAUUUCAUGCAUCAUUGAAUCCCUUUAUGCUUAGCUGGUUCUCACGUUACUAGUCUUGACAUAUAUUUCUGGUUCUCGUUGGUUAACAUGAUCGAUGAUCAGGGAAGCAGGAAAAAAUGGCUCGUCGCUUCAGUGGAAGGCAUUUGGAACUCCUGUCAUUACAUCCAUUUCGUACGAAGAUGUCCUCGCAGGAGAAGAUGUACAGAGAGAAGUUCAAAAGAUUCUUUUACCAUGGUUAAGCGGGGAAGCAACAGAGGAUUCUGGUAAUGGCACUCCUGAUGAAGUUUGUACCGAUCACGUAACAGAUUCAGUAAAGAGCAAUGGUUUUGCUUCCAAGUCAUUAUCAUCCUUAAAAAUUUCUCUACAAUUUGGCGACGGGAAUGGUGAAUUGAUUGAUCUCUCUGCGAAAGAAGGGAAAUCCAUCACAGUGAGCCAAUCAUCAACCUUGGCAUUGGUAUAUGUUGAUUGGUCACUAGAUCUCAUAUCAAAAUGCAAUGCUAAGUUCUUUGAGAACUUGCCUGAAGUCUUCAAGUUUGGACCUGUGAGUAAGAAGGCUCGUAAUGAGCCCCUCUCCUUGUACACUUGUCUGGAAGCUUUCCUACGCGAGGAACCCUUGGUUCCUGAGGACAUGUGGUUAGUACCUUUCUUUCCUCUUGCUAGUUAAUACUCUAGUAUGGAAAGUAUAUGAGUCAUUUGCAAUGUAUAUUUUAAAAGGUACUGUCCACAAUGCAAAGAACGACGGCAAGCGAGUAAGAAGCUUGAUUUAUGGAGGCUUCCAGAGGUGCUGGUGAUCCAUUUGAAGCGGUUCUCAUACAGUAGAUCUAUGAAACACAAACUAGAAACCUUUGUUAACUUCCCAAUACGUGAUUUUGAUUUGACAAACUACGUGGGCAACAAGAACAGCACCCGUCGUCAACUCUAUGAACUAUAUGCCCUGACCAAUCAUUAUGGUGGCAUGGGAAGUGGGCAUUACACUGCGCACAUCAAGGUGAGAACAAAUUAGUAGUCUUUUUUAGUUUAUUGUAUCAUUUCCCUUGAUUUCCUCUGCUGUUCUGUUCCUAUUCUUGAAUCUUGAUUGUUGUCAAAUGUUUUUAGUAUUAUUAUGAUGCAUGUGUGUGAUGUCUGAAAAAUCGUGCAGC